GUCCCCUCACCCCGUCCCUCCCCCCCGCCCCCCGCUCCCCUCGAGCCGGCCACCAUGAACACCAACGUGUGCGUGGAGAGCGGCCCCAACCCCGAGGCGCCGGGGCUGCCCAAGGACAGCCACCUGCCCGAGGGGGCCCUCAACAGCCUUGUGGAUUACAACUCGGAGAUGGAGAGGUACCGCUCCUUCGCCACCUUCUACAAGACCAACGGCGGCGCCUUCCCCCAGGCGGCCAAGAUCGCCCGCAUCACCACCCCCAUCUUCCCCAGCGCCGCCGCCGCCGCCGCCGCCCGCAUCGGCAUGUCCCCCUGGAACUGCGACACCGCCACGGCCGCCGCCGCCACCGCCAUGCUCUGGGGCAGCGGCGGCGGCGGCGGCGGCGGCGGCGCGGCGGGCGGCGCGAGGAAGCCCUCCUCCGCCGCCGCCGCCGCCGCCGCCUCCGCCUCCGCGGCCGCCGCCGCCGCCGCCUCCUCGCUGCACGCCGGCAGGGGCGGCAUGCACCACCGGAGCGACUCGCAGCGGCUGGGCAAGCCCGGCUGCCCGCCGGCCGAGCAGCCCGCCCUGCCCAUGGCGAACGGCAACUUCCUCUCCACCCUCUCCCCCGAGCACUGCCGGCCGCUGGCCGGCGAGUGCAUGAACAAGCUCAAGUGCGGCGCCGCCGAAGCCGAGAUCAUGAACCUCCCCGAGCGCGUCGGCACCUUCUCGGCCAUCCCGGCGCUGGGCGGCCUCUCCCUGCCCCCCGGGGUCAUCGUCAUGACGGCCCUGCACUCCCCCGCCGCGGCCUCGGCCGCCGUCACAGACAGCGCCUUCCAGAUCGCCAACCUGGCGGACUGCCCGCAGAGCCACGCCUCGGCCUCGCCCGCCUCCGCCCUGGGCGCCGCCGCCGGCGCGGGGGGCGGCGGAGGCGGUGGCGGCGGCGGCGGCGGCGGAGGGGGGGCCGGCGGCGGCGGCGCCGGGGCCGGGGCCGGGGCGGGCAACCCCGCCAAGAAGAAGCGGAAACGCUGCGGGGUGUGCGUGCCCUGCAAGCGGCUCAUCAACUGUGGAGUCUGCAGCAGUUGCAGGAACCGCAAAACGGGACACCAGAUCUGCAAAUUUAGGAAAUGUGAAGAGCUUAAGAAAAAACCGGGCACUUCGCUAGAGGUCAGAGGAGAUGAUUUCUUUUUUCCCAGCCUCCCGCCGUCCCUCCUCAACCCCCUGCCCCCCCCCCUCCAGUGCUUCUUGUCUAGCUUCAAGAUGCAGCAUCCCUUUUCCGAGGCCUCCUUCAGGCUCUGAGGGUGCCCCCCGCCGCGGGCGCGGCCCCCCGCGGCGCUGCCCCGCCGCCCGCCCCCUCUCCGCCCCGCCGGGAAGAGAAACGCCGCCCCCCGCGGCGCCCCGCCGAGCUGGGCGACGGCCGCGGCCGCCGGCCCCGCCAGCCGGCCCCGCCGGGGAGGGACGGAGAGCCGCCCCCGCGGGAGACCACCCCCCCCCCCCCCGCCGCGGGCCGCAGCGCCCAGCCUUCCAGAGCCGGAGGCCGGCCGGGGGGCGCCGGCCCCCUCCCCGCCAGCCCGUGGCCGUUACGAGACGCUGCUCGCCUGGUUUACCUGCCGUGCUAUUUCUCUGUCAGACUGCUGGCUGUCCCUGGUUUCUUUUUCAUCUUCUUUUUUUUUUCUCUUUUUUUUAACGGCGAUCGUGACGAUUCGGGGCGGUUUGUAGGGACGGGGAGGUGGGAAAGGGAAAGUUUUAGCUGAACGCCUGCCUCCCGCCGUCGGAAGUUCAGGGGAAAGUAAUGGCGAGUUCAUCUCCAGGUUGGCUGGUAGCAGUUUGUCCAGGACAGACGACUGGCCGUAGAGCCCGCCGGUGGUCGGUGAAGCGUGCCCAAGUAAUCUCUUUGGCAAUAUCUUUUACGAAAUAACCCGCUCGUGGUGUAUAAAACACAAUGGAAAAAUAGAGGUAUGGCUGAACUGAUUUCUGACCGAACUCUACAUGCGGUUGUUCUUACGACGCGUCCUCGAACUGACGACGUAUUGCAUUUCCCAAAGCUGUAACGACAGGUUUUCAGGUUUGCUAGACGUACGAGAGACAGGCAGAUCAGAUCCCGUGUGGCAGACACUUCGGUCAGUGUUAUCGGGGACGACAGACAGACAGACGGUGGGAACCAAAACACACAACCGGGAGGAAAACGGCAAAUUGGUCGAUAGCGUUAGGCGAGGGAAACAAGCCAGAGGAAGGACUAGUGAUCAUACUUAAUCCUCAGUCAUUAUUAAAAUUACAGUGUUGCCAGUUAGGCGUACAUAUCGGAUGUGUCUGAAGGUGUCGGGGACGAUGGAUUUAGUGCAGAGGAGUAGUGUAUGCCGGGUGACAUCAGGAUUUGUAAUCACAGAAAUUAGCAACUAAGUGAGAAAUUGCAACUUCCCUCUUUCUGCGUGCGUGCGUGCCUGUGUGCGCGUGUGUGCAGAGCAGUUUAUUCCCUUACUCGUUGCUUGCAGGAGUUCUCUCCCAGAAGAGGUGGGAUGAGGGAUUCCAGGGAAAAGGCUGCACCAAGAGCCCGUUCAUUUGGUCUGCGUUAAAUAAAUGGAGAUAACGGCAUUGGUAUUGAUACUGCCAUGGGACAAAAGCAACAUUUCGGGGUUUAACUGACAUCUGGCUGAUACCAUUAACUCUUCCCUGACCAACCUCAUCAAACCAACUAAUUAAUUCUUCCCUGCAAGAGUCAACUGUCCUUGCUGAAAGUUUGAUUUGUAGCUCUGCAUCCUCUUAGCUCUUUUUCGUGAAUGUAUGGUGACCCAGCAUCACUAACGCAAAAACCAGGAUGGACUUGCUAGGUGCCAGAAACUAGAUUGGGUUUUCAGCUCUUGUUUUGCUCAAUAACAUGCCUUUGUUCGUUUCGUUGCAAGUUCGCAAAGAAGAUACUUAAUGCCCUGGUCUGUUAAUGAUGGAUUAUAAUGCUGAGUACAGCCUAAAAGAGGCUUCUCUGAACCAGAGACGUGGAGAGUCCCCCCCGUGCCACCCAGCUCUGGGGGUGCCUUUGUGUGCCAAGUUCCCUCAUUAGGCUUGCAAACCAGGAUGCUGCUGGGAUUUAAUGUUUGUGAUAAAUGAUAGGUUCUGAUGGCUUAUCGAUUCGUGCAGAAAGUGAGCUAUCUCUGGAAGAAACAAAUUUGUACGUUAUCAGAUCUUCUUAUGGGUGUGUGUGCAUCUCUGAGCACGUUUCCAGAACUUCCUUGCUCCUGACAGAGGUGUUCAACAGCCUUAAAAACUGCUCAGGCGUGUUAUGAGAAUGCCGCCCGUUAAAAUUGUUUAACCACUGUGACUAGUAAAAACCGUGGGUUUAUUAGCCACUUGUGUACUCUCAUAACCACCUGCCUUCACUUCUUCAUUUUGUCUCUCCCCGCACUUGCUCGCUCUCUCCUGUUUAUGCUCUGUCAGAUACAUAAACACAAAAGCUCCUCUGCUGCUGUACCGUGACUCGAAGGAAACGGGUUUCUCUUCCCAGCUGUGGAGAGGUCAGUGAGGCAUCACUUCUCUGCAGGUCGUGGCCCAUCACAAAGUUUUGUCACGGGAUGUGGCUCAUUUCUUCACAGAAAUGUGGUUUGUCAGUAGGAGAGGAAGAGUGCCCAAACUGAGUAACCUUCUUACACGGUUGUUUUUCUUAUGCCUUCUUCCUUUUCUUUUUCUUUUCUUUUCAAUUUAAAUUAACUAAUAAAGAGUGACGGCAGGGCUGCCUAGAGCACAUGUGUAGCAGCAGUGCGCUGGCUGUAAGGCCACCAGCUGGAAGGGUGUUGGAGAGUGACAGGGCCUACAUGAGGACACUGCAGCAGCAGGAGCAGUGGUGGCUGCGGUGGCUGCGGGUGGGCGAGGGCAGCCUCCCUGUGGAGCGAGAUUCUGGGGCUAGUUUGGGCUGCGCUCUCAGGGAAGCAACAGCUCUGCGUGGGUGAACCCCCGUCACCUCUGUAGGCAUGGUCUCAAGGAAACGCGACAAGGAUGGAGGGGCUCGCAUUCCACUACACACUUGUAAGAUUUGUGAAAAUGGUGCUCGACAGUGGCUGCAAGUUGCGGAGAUGAUUCAAGGCAAGAGGCGGAACUGUGUUUAAAAACAAAAUAAACGAAAAAUGAGAAUAAUAACAAUAAACAGUAAGCUGGCUGAUCCCACGAAAACCAUUUCUCUCUUUUGCCUUUAAAUCUCUUCUUCUGCUGGUGCAAUGAAGGCAUAGGAUAUAACUCUCAAGAGAACACCUGUUCCCAGCGCUGAAGCAUUCCGAUGGUUCUUUUAAGCAGUAGUGUAUCUUAUUUUCAAGGCAGUCCGAAGUGAAUGGCAAGCUAAAGUCUUGUUUUAAGAAACUGCUUAGUCCACCAUUGAAGAAUAUACUCAGAUACUAUUUUCAUUUAUGUAUAGGGGUUUCCUCAAAAGCAAAAGACAAAAAUCUGGGAGCCUGGGGAAUUGGCCAGCUUCUUCACAUUCAGUACACUGAUUCUUUCUUUGAUGUAACUUAGCGAUACUAGUGAAGUUGUUGUCUAUUUUUAAAGUGGCUGUAAAAACAACAAAAAAAAAAAGUUUGGGUAAACCCCUGCUAUAAAGUCAUGUAUCUUUGAAAAGUAACAUAUCUAUACUUCAUUUUCAAAUAUAUGUGUUUCAGUACUGUAAACUGUACAGAUAGCCGCUUGUAUUUUGUGUGUUUAGACACAAGGAGACAAUCAUGUCUGAGCAUCUAUGGAGAUUAACGGUUUGUACACAACGGUGUGGUUCUGCGAGUUAAAUCCGGAGCAAUAAAUUCUAGCUUUAACUAUUAUUUUGCUAGUUGUUUAGCAACAGCAGCAACGGCAGCACUGUUUUACCAUGCAUCCUUCCAUAGAGACUUGAUGCCAAGUUUUCCAAGAUAAAAAGAUUGUGACGCAUCUAACAAUUACCUUCCGUCGUGGUGGUAUAAGAGGGGAAGACAUAACAUUUAAGAUUAAUCUUUCAAGCACUAUAUUAGAGUAGUGAUUUGUGCACUUGCAUUGCUUCCAAAGGAGCUUUACAGAGGGGUAUCUCUCCAAAAAUGCUGUCUGGUGUCUGACUCGCUUUUCACUGUGCUCUGAGGUGGAGUGCCCAGCAUAGGCAGAUGUGCAAAACCAGUCGUCUAUAUAAAGGUUGUUCUAGAAUGCAAAACAACGUGAGUACAAGACCUUAGAAAAAAUGACGACUCAGCCUAAUUACCCUUCACCUAUGAGUUCUUAUGUAACAUUUUCAGUCAAUGGAGUAAAUAUUUUAUGAAGUGGAAUGCCAUAUUUUUGGUCCAAGUGGAGCUCUUCACAGUUAAGUGAGUUUUGACAGUUGGACUGGUUUGGGUCUCACUUGCACUUGUGUUCAUUUGAGAGCCUGGAUAUUUUUGUGGUAUAAAAAUGAACUUUUUCUUUAAAAUGUUUAAAAAAAGGCCGCUUCUCCCCACACGUUUCUUGGUCCACCAAUCUCGGCUUUGCUGAAUGGCUGGUCCCUUAGGCCCCCAGAAGAAUGCCCCGCCGUUCUUCUUCCUGCUCUAGCUGUGUGGAGGAAAUGUCUGCUCCUCAAAAAGGCAGCGCACGGAGGGAUAUAACUCACAUGUCAUAAAAAAUAUGGAGGAUACUGAACUUAGGGAUACUUAUUAUCAGUAGAUCAUCACUUUUUAUUGCUUGGCUUCGUCAUACCACUCAUGAGUGAGAAGGCCAUCCCAUCAAAGUAAGCCAAUGCUGUUGUGCCAUGUAUUUGAUAGAUUUAUCAUUUUGUACAAGAUAGGACUACCAGUAGUUUCACAGACAAGGUGCUGGGCGUGGGAAUAACCGGUUAAGGAUGCACAGCACGUUCAAAUCUCCUAUUGUUUCAGCACUUUCUCUGUUUUUUGCUAAGUACUUCAGCCUUUGGCCCCUGGUCACUCUCACUUGGUGAAGUACAGGGGAUGGUUGGGAACACUGCGGUGUGGGACCUGUGCAGGCGGGGGAGAUGCCGGCUUUGGCAGGGGAGGGACCUCGCAGGACUGGUGGGUGUUGAGAAUGGCCCAGAAAGCGAAGACUGAGGGAUGGAGGAGGAGAAACCUCCUGAGGUCACACAUGUGUGUCAGCAGGGCUGGGCAGAGCGUGGGUGACCUGGGGUAACUGGAGGAGUGUGGCGGGCGGGCUGGGCUUACACCUGCGUCCUCAACUUAGGGUCAAUGCACGUGUCUAUGUCUUUGCGUCGUAUGACGUCACAUACAUGGCUUCAGAGAUGGAAUGUCACACCUGAAAUGCUUCUAUCAUGGUGCCCCUCUUGCAGUUUGUAAGAGAUCCUCAGUUGAAUAUUCAUCCAAUACCCAUUCAAUGAGCUUUACGUCUGUUUGUAUGGCAGCCGUGUAUGGAUUUUUUUUGUGUUGGAGACUUUUUGGUUAGGGCCUCUGUUACUGACCACUAGACCAAUAUGAGCUCUGUAAGGUCUUCUCUAUCAAAACGCUGAUUGAUUUACAAACUGAAGCCUUAUUUGCACAUCUGGCUUGCCUUGCUUUUUGGAAAACUGUGAUUGCUCUUACAGAAGCAGAGGCAAAAUUAAGUUCAGGCUACAUUAGGUGUACAAAGAUAUUCAUAGCAAUGUACUUACUGUCUAAUACCCUAAUGUUGCAUGUCUUAAUGUGGUUUCUUUUUUUGUUUUGUCAUUUUGUUUUAAAGAACUGAUGGAUCUGUAUAUUGUAAUUGUGGUGUUUUACAUGUCAAUUCAAAAUUGUUAAAACAAACAAACAAGCAAACCUGUUAAUUAUUGAAAAUGAACAAGAGUUGAUUUUUCUUUGAUUUACCCGUAUGGUUUUCAUUUCAGAUGUUGUUCCUUUGCACCAUCAGAUUUUUAGCUUUUGCUGAAACAGUAUUUAUGUGAUGUAGUGCACAUAGACCAUUUUAAUUAGUGAUGUUUGAAGAAGGAAAUCCCUUUUCUGGCCUGUCUCUCUCCACCACAGCCCUAUACCCCACCCCCCCCACCCCACCCCCGCUUUUAUACACGUUUGUCAGUCGGAUUAUUGUCAAGUUCUAAUUACCAAAUUUGUGCUUUUCACAAGGUCCAAUACCAUUUUCCAGCGUGAAAAGUUGUAUUCCUCUCUGUCUUUCAUUCUCACGAUGCAAAAAAAAAAGGGGGGGGUGGCAAAAAAAAAGCAGAACGUACUUUUGCCGUCUUCUAAGUGUGAGCACUAAGCCUAAUAGAAGCAUUUUUGGCAUACCCCAGAUAAACUUAUGAAAAAUGGUAAGGCUGAAAGGGAGGCACAUGUACCCAUUCUGUCAAUUAAUAACAGACCCUCCCUAUGAGGGAAAAUACUCCCUUUUGUACAGAACCCCUGGUAUGUAAGUCCUACAAUUAAUGUUAAAGAAUAUAAAGUCUUUAAAUGGGCUAUAUCUGUAAUCAAAUAAUGAAGAAAGAAAGUAGUUAAAUGAACAUACCAUUCAGGGUCGAAUGCAUUCAGCAAAAAGCAGUAGUGGGUCUUUGAUCAUGGUUAGAUGCAUAGUGAUAUCAAACAGUGGGUUCUCAUGUAACAGCUAAAUGUUUCAGAUUUUGUUUUUAUUAAAUUUGGCAGUUUCAUGCUGAGCUCUACUGUAUUCUUAGUGAAUAAAAGACAGCUCCUAUGUUAGAAAGUACUCCAUUUUCACAAUUGCAGGGAACUAGGAGGGUUUUUUCAGAAACACGGGCCACAGAAAUGUACUCCUUUCACAGUGUUCUCCUAUUUCUGAACUGUGCAGUUAUCUAUUAAAUUUUCUAAUAGAUAUUUGUGUAAGGUGUAUGUAUGCUUGUGCAAUUAUGGAAAAAAACAGUUUUGGAAAACAGUGUAUUUAUGAAAAAAAUAAUCACUUAUGGGGCAUGUACAAAACUGUAUAAAAACAUUCAAUUUGCCCAGUAAAGUUGUUUUUGUGAUAUUUCUGUGUUGUUGAAUAAAGGACUUUAGUAUUCAAAAUAUCUCUCUUUUUCCAUAAACAGGUUUUGUUUGUGGGAUCUUAAGCAAAGAAAACCUCUUUUAAAAAAGAAUCCUCAAAAUGAGCGAUAAGGUCCAAAUGCUGACCUCAGUCUUGUGUAUGGGAAUGAAUGCUUAUGAAGUGACAGUACAAUAGCUACAAAACUGAUUCCUUCUCAAUUGGCAAUCGAUGGAAACCCCAUAAGUUGUAUGCCUGAAGGUAACAUUGUACUCUGGAUUUUUUAAAAUAGCAGAAAAAAAUACUGCCUUUUUAAAGACUAGGAAUGUUACGUUGAGCUUUUGAGGCUACGAAAAGGUUAAUGAAGUAGGAGCAAGACAGAUUGCAGAAAAGCCUUCAACCCUUUAAUGCAGACCUCUGUUGUAUAAAAAGAGUGGACUAGCGAGGGUGAUGUGAUAAAUUAGCAGUUAGCUUCGUGGGGAAAAGCAUACGAAGGUGAAAUCUCAUCUGUAACUCUUGCAACAAACAAUAGUCCUGAGAUUCGAUCAUCCUGUUGCUGUUGGAGUAUUUGGGGUUACGAAUAGGAUUUGCGAGAGAAUGACAAUAAUGUCUUCCGUUUUGUUUUACUGCUGCUCAGUUCAAAGUUCUGCUCUUUACCUGCCUCAUGAACUAUCCAUAGCAAAGGAAACGGUUUCCUUUUGCUAUUUUAUUUCCCCAUACUACUUGCCGACAUUACAGCAACUUCGGAUAGGUGGGAAAGUUCGUGACUGUGCCGGCAGCACAUCACCUGAUUUUGGUGAAAUUUGGAAUGUCAUUUUUCUGCGAAUAUUCCUUUAAUAAACAGAAUGUCUGCUCUUAGGUGCCCAAACAGGAUUUGAAAGGGUUUGAAACACGAGGUAGGUCCUUUGGUCUGUGAGAUUCCUUCAGUGCCAACUGAUUUUCCAGGGGGAGCCUCAGUGUAUCCUUCUGUUUUUUAAAGAAAGCAACAGAAGUGAAAGGAAUAGAAGUGGAUUUUCCACUGAUCCUGUCUGCUCUUAUCGAAAUCCGUAAGGAUAUAUGUUCUUGGGAGAUGUAGACCACUCAUUAGACAAUGCCAAGAGUGAAUCUUGAGGUCUGUUUGAAGAGGAGGAAAAGGGCUGCCAGGUUGCUCAGGCAUAGUCAGUGAUCUCUCUGGAUUAAAUAUAGAAUUCACAGGGAGGAAAUACACUCAUUUCAUGAGAUGGUCGAUUUGGAAACGGGAAGAGGUCUCUGAGUUCCUAUUCCUUUAAUGCUUUCUCUUUCAACUUUUUUCCCCCUCGAGUAUUGUUUUAUACUAGUCUGAAUGAAAAACGUCCCUCAGUUCCAGAGAAAUACUCACCCCAGAUAUGAACCUUUCAGCUUAAAACUACCUCUAGCUUUUUCUAGCUUUUAUUUUUUAAUUAAAAAAAAAAAUCUAAAAAAACCCCCCAGACAACAAGCAGGUAAUUCUUCAAAGCCAAAACUGACAAAGUCAUUACUGAGCCUAUUAAAAGGAAGGAAAAUACUCUUUUGUGUGGAAGCUCAAUUCUUCUAGGCUGUGUUGGACUUAAUUUGGUUUUGCCGCUAGCCAUUUCAGUGCUCUCUCAUAUUUUUCCAAGGAACAAGUCUGAAAUUAUGAACGGUCUAGUGAUACGGGGCAGCAUGCCUUCUGGGAGGCCCAAGUCCUCCACAGAUUCCCAUGGGCUUUACUAGAUAGCUCAUGAAAUUGGAAGAUAUUAUAUAGGUGACUUAGUUAUAAGUUCUACCUUACUUCACUGUAAGGACCUACUCGGUCACCAGUGCGCAAUGAGCAUGGAUAGAUGGCCCCAAAAUCUAUAAAGGUAAGAAAUACAUUUCUCGGUAAUAACUGCAGAACAUACAAUAAAGUUUGAGGCCGCUGGAACUAUCUGAGGAAAGAAAGGUGAACAUCAGCAAAGAUGUCAGGAUCCCACCGUAGCUUUGUUUCUGUUUGCCAUUUGGUUUUUGGGAUGGACACACUCGGCUGGGUAGCUGGGUCUUUCAGCAAGGCAGUUUUGCCUAAGAUAGGCAGAAUGAAGGAUAGUGCGUAGCAAAUUGUGAUCUUGCAAGACAAGGAUCUAGACUGCCGAAAGAAGCUGCAAUGUUCGGGAAGUAUUUCCAUUGGUCUUCUAAGUUUUCAAAUGAUAUUUAAAGGAUUGUUACGUUAUUCUCAAUUUAAUAAGCAGGAAUAGUUUGUUGUGCUACUGCCCGUUCCCUGAAAAAGGGGUUUUAGAAAUUAGCCUUAAUGGGUUAAUUUCCCAAUAAACUUUGAGGGUACUUGUUAGUCUAAUACGACUUCCCCGUAAGAGAAGAUGCUGUAAUUGUGGGUUCAUUGGCCUGUAUAAGGCCCCUUUGACUUGCAGAGUCAAGGAUCUUUGCUAGAAAAUAAUUCAGCAGAAUUCUUGUAGAAAGAUCUGCAGGUGUCAUGAUGUCAGCCAGAGCCUGGAUUAAUUAUUCAGUGCAGUUCUCCCCAGCUUGGUUUAUGAUGUGUAUAAGCAUCCUACAUUUGAGAAGAAAACACCUUUCUUCCCUUACUGCCUUAAAUCUGCUCUCUUUACAGAGUUAAUAACACUAACCCUCUGCACUUCUUCAGGAAAACCCAAAACAUUAGGAGAAAUACAUCUCCUUUUGGCUAGACAUUUUCCUUUUGAAAUUGAGAGAGAAGAGUUAGCCCAGGUCAGAAACCCCUGUUGCUUGCCCCAGUCUCCUAACACGGGUGUUCUCUGCGUCGGAUGUACCUUGUGAGCAAAGUCCAUAACAUCAUCUUGGCAAUCAGACACAACCCUACAGGAGAUCAACACCAAAGCAAACACGACCCAGUGGGGGACGUUCCCACUGCCGCCUCCCUGGUACCUGCGACACGCACAAGUUUGUGCCAGAUGUCCAACACCCUGUGCUCUGUCUCCCAGGGGAUCAGGUUUGCUGUGCCCAGGAGAGAGGUGCCCCUCCCCAGAUCUGAUGAGCAGGUAGCGUGCUGGAGGGUUUUUAAGAGGAGAGAAGAUUUGCACGUCCAGAGAGUGACUAGAAUAUCUCGACUCACGUGUCUCACGUUAGCUUCUGAUUUCUAGCUGUGAGUGUCUGAGGCCACCAGGCUUUAGGAGAAGUAGCCGGACUGUUGAGUAUACCUAGUCUCUUAUGUGCCUACGUUUUAAUAUUCAUACCUAGAGAUCAAUAGUGAAUUUGACCAGCUGAUGUGCUGACCGAGAAUGUACUGUUUAAUGCAAAAUUAUAACAACUGGCUUUCAACCUGGUUUUAGAGAAUUAGUGGGCAAAUAACCUGAUCUAAAGAAAUCUGUCACCCACAUUAGGAACUGUGAACUAAUUAUUGCUUUCUGAUACUCUGCUCUUACUUGUUUUGCCUUUUUAUCCUGAUUGUUUGCAUUCCUAGGACCGAUUUGCCUUUUUGAUGCAAUGCCAUGUGACCUGCUGAUUAAUUUUUGUGAGCAAUCAUAAACUCCAACCUAUGGCUGACUCGGUAUAUUUUUAUGCUACGCUCCAUAAACAUUCAUUCAUUUCUUAUGAUUACUGUGUGGAAACAGACUUUUACAGGCUAAUAAACUUGGAUUUGAACUGGA